rnacentral:lncRNA from 1 species
UCUCAAUCAAACCAAACGAAUGAAAUAAGAAAUUAAGAACAAAACAAGGGACUACCCAAUUCUUUUCAGAAUCACCGUCUGAUAACAAUAGCAGGUUGUUAAAGUUCAAAACUUUAUCUUUUACGACCAAGAUUAUGCCAGUAGAACCCAAUACACCAACGGCUGCAGAUAUUUUUAGCCCAUAAGCAGAAUCCAAGUUCCGUUCAGGCAGAAAUUUCGACAGUUAUGUAAUCAAAGAACUAAUUUUUAUGCUUUCUUGGAUUUUCAUUUUGGCAAUUCUUACAACGCACGAAAUCAAUGGCCCCUUUAACUCAAGGCACAAGAAAGGAAAUGUUUUGCUUCUCCACUCUCCAGUAACCCAGUUACUUCUUUUUUAAUUUAAGUAGAAUAAAUUUGCAGUUUUUCCUCAAAAGCAAAAACCCAUUUCGCUCCAUUCUCCCUCAAUAUUUACGCAACCGUGAGUGGCUAAAAGUCCCACCCAAGCACUUCACCGUCACCACAGGCCGACGCCGACCGCACAUCGACACCACCGGCUGACGCCAACCGCACACCAGAACCACCAAUCGACGACGACGACCCACUGUUUUGCCUGAAUUUGGAAAAAUCCAGCGCCCCACGCAAAACCUCCAUCCCAACUUGGAAGGAGUCAGAUCCCUGCACAAUCACAGUG